rnacentral:rRNA from 1 species
UACGGGGGGAGCAAGCGUUGUUCGGAUUUACUGGGCGUAAAGGGCGCGUAGGCGGUCAGCACAAGUCAGUUGUGAAAUCUCCGGGCUUAACUCGGAAAGGUCAACUGAUACUGUGCGACUAGAGUGCGGAAGGGGCAACUGGAAUUCUCGGUGUAGCGGUGAAAUGCGUAGAGAUCCGGAGGAACCCCAGAGGCGAAGGCGGCGCCCUGGCUCGCAACUGACGCUCAGACACGACAGCAUGGGGAGCGAACGGG